rnacentral:lncRNA from 1 species
GAUUAUCGCUAUCACAUGCAUCAGCAUUGAUAUCGAAAGGUACAGGCUCAUGGGCAGGAGGCAGCGUGACUGCAGCUCUAUGACAGCAGCACCAUCGACGAUUGAACUACCAUAUGCCGGUGUCACGAGGAUCCGACAUAUCAGGUUACACAUCUAAAUUUUUUUUAGACUUUAAUGACUUAAUUAUUUAUUCUUAAAUUAAAUUUAUUUUUUACUAAUUGUAUAGAGAUGAUGUGUCCAGAAUGCGGCAAACCGGACGAGAC